AUUCUGCCCAUGCGGGGAAGGAUGAGAAGCUUCGACCAAGGUUCGACUCGAGCGCCAGCGAGAGAGCGUGGCCGCAGGCAACGACCCGAAGGGCGAAGCGCGCAGCGCUGAGUAAUCCUUCCCCAACCACCA
rnacentral:sRNA from 1 species